rnacentral:rRNA from 1 species
AGCGAACACUGGCGGCAGGCUUAACACAUGCAAGUCGAGCGGGCACUUCGGUGUCAGCGGCAGACGGGUGAGUAACACGUGGGAACGUACCCUUCGGUUCGGAAUAACGCUGGGAAACUGGCGCUAAUACCGGAUACGCCCUUUUGGGGAAAGGUUUACUGCCGAAGGAUCGGCCCGCGUCUGAUUAGCUAGUUGGUGGGGUAAUGGCCUACCAAGGCGACGAUCAGUAGCUGGUCUGAGAGGAUGAUCAGCCACACUGGGACUGAGACACGGCCCAGACUCCUACGGAGGGCAGCAGUGGGGAAGAUUGGACGAUGGGCGAAAGCCUAAUCCAGCCAGACCGCGUGAGUGAUGAAGGCCUUAGGGUUGUAAAGCUCUUUUAUCCGGGACGAUAAUGACGGUACCGGAAGAAUAAGCCCCGGCUAACUUCGU